UAUUCAACUCGAAAAAUAUUC
ensembl:piRNA 21ur-8579 ncRNA